CCUAGAGUUGUAGGCUUUGCCUGCUAUCUCUUACCCAUGUCUUUUGAGUACCUUCGUUUCCUCGGCGGGUCCGCCCGCCGAUUGGACAGUUUAAAACCAUUUGCAGUUGCAAUCAGCGUCUGAAAAAACUUAAUAGUUA
rnacentral:misc_RNA from 1 species